rnacentral:rRNA from 1 species
UACAGAGGGGGCAAGCGUUAUUCGGAAUUAUUGGGCGUAAAGGGCGCGUAGGCGGCUUUUCAAGUGACGGGUGAAAUCCCUCGGCUUAACCGGGGAACUGCGUCUGAUACUGGAUGGCUUGAGAUCGGGAGAGGGAUGCGGAAUUCCAGGUGUAGCGGUGAAAUGCGUAGAUAUCUGGAGGAACACCGGUGGCGAAGGCGGCAUCCUGGACCAACACUGACGCUGAGGAGCGAAAGCCAGGGGAGCAAACGGG